rnacentral:piRNA from 1 species
UUUAAACAAAUAUAUUUUUUUAAGUGCA